GGCAACUUGGCCGAGCGGUCUAAGGCGCCACGUUAAGGUGUCAAACCCUUAAUCAACAAUCCGUGGUCCGAAAGGGCGUGAGUUCGAAUCUCACAGUUGUCA